rnacentral:rRNA from 1 species
GACAGCAGCCGCCGCGGUAAUACGUAGGGUGCAAGCGUUAAUCGGAAUUACUGGGCGUAAAGCGUGCGCAGGCGGUUAUAUAAGACAGAUGUGAAAUCCCCGGGCUCAACCUGGGAACUGCAUUUGUGACUGUAUAGCUAGAGUACGGCAGAGGGGGAUGGAAUUCCGCGUGUAGCAGUGAAAUGCGUAGAUAUGCGGAGGAACACCGAUGGCGAAGGCAAUCCCCUGGGCCUGUACUGACGCUCAUGCACGAAAGCGUGGGGAGCAAACAGGAUUAGAUACCCCAGUAGUCCCUGUCUCUUAUAC